GGGGAGAUGGCCGAGCGGUUGAAGGCGCGCGCCUGCUAAGCGUGUAUAGGGGUAAUGCCCCUAUCGAGGGUUCGAAUCCCUCUCUCUCCG
rnacentral:tRNA from 2 species